CAAUACCGGACUAUGAAAGCCCACCUCCGAUGAGACGUAGGUUUUCAUAGUACCAGUACCU
ncrna:Plutella xylostella (diamondback moth) microRNA pxy-mir-8512 precursor (pxy-mir-8512-1)